GGUCUAAUCUAUCUUCUCGGUGCUUCUUCUGUAGUCUGAAAACCUACGCUUUACUCUUGGAGCUCUAAGCGGCAAAGUUUUCUCUUGAGCUAACUCUUCCCAACAACGUGCUAUCUUUCUCCCACUCUUAUUAAAUCCAAUUGCAUUAGACUCAACCCCCAUUAUGAUAUGUCGCAAUUUUUACAAGGGACUGUUUUCUUUUCCUUCCAUUUCUGGGUUUUGCUGUUUCUGGUUCUAAUAUCUAUGGGUCGUUGCCUUCAAUUUAUGGGUCGUUCCCUUCAAUUUACUUAUAGUUGCAUGAACGGAAUAGUCUUGCUUCGCAUCCACAUAUGUUUGAUUUUACGUGUUGGGUUUCCAUGAAAUUUUGAUGAUUUUGUGGGUCUACUCAGAGUUGGAUGAGCAUUUAGCUAGAAAUCCUGAUAGCUAGACAAGGUAUAAUCUCUUGACUGUCUCUCAUGUAUUACUGAUGGAAGUGUUUAUGCAUGUUUGUUAUCACCUUGGUAAUGCAACAACUCGACCGCGGGAUUUGUACACGGAAGUGCAAUGUAACAUCUGCUACAACACGGUUGAUGACAGUCUCCUGCUGUUGUGCGACCUUUGUGACACUGCUUGUCAUAACUUAUAUUGUUGUCCUUGGUACUAUGUAGUUGUGGUAUAGGUACCGUGUCACGACCCAACCGGAGGGCCAUGACGAGCACCCGGUGCUGUGCUAACCCACCCGGGUACCUCUUAUCGUACUCUCAUAUUCACAUCUAGGUGAGCCACAUGGCUUACUCAUAAUUUAUAUGCAUUAAUAGUGCUAAUCUCAUUGGGCAACAACACCUCUAUAUCUUCAUCAAUAACAAUGCCCAUAUCCAUAUACACAAGCCGACGAGGCUAUCAAAAUGAUAUACAAAAUAUGAGCCAACAAGGCUAAGGACAUCUAAUCAUAUACAACUGUCUACAAGCCUCUAAGAAGAGUAGAGUAUGUCACAUCAUAUAGGCAGGACAUGACCCCGUCAUGCCCAUAGGUAUGUACACAAAAGAAUAAUACCAAAAGCUGUAGCUCCGGAUGAAAUGGAGCUCCUCUAUGCAGUCCCUGAAUAAGAUAUCUAUGGAUCAAGCCUGUCUCCCUGUCCACCUGCGGGCAUGACGCAGCGUCCACAAACAAAAGGACGUCAGUACGAAUAAUGUACUGAGUAUGUAAAGCGUAAUCAACAUCAUAAUAGGAGCAUAAGAGACAUCAUAAGAAAUAGCAUAAGAAGGGAGAAUCAAGAGAUAGUAGCCAUCAUCGUAAUUACUUACUUGUCUUUCAUAGGGACCUUCCAUUUAUAGUGCGUGCUUGUGUACAUACAUAUAUACAUAUACAAAUAUCCAUAUCCGUAUUUAUAUACAUAUUCGCAUUCAUAGCAUACCUGACCAUGAAGGUUCGGUGGUUUCACAUACCCGGCCAUGACAAGGCUCGGUGUCGUACAUACCUGGCCCUACCAAGGCUCAGUGUUAUCCGUACCCAACUGCAGUGGUGUGCGCAAUAGGUAUCAUACCCGGCCAUAUAAGCUCGGUAUUACAUAAUAGUCAUACAUACUUAAAUUCGUAUACAUAGGAGUUCAUGAGUAUUAUCGUCAUUAUUGACAUCAUCAUUUUUGUUAUAUAUAUCCUUAGAGGAUCAACUAUCAUAUAAAGAGGCAAUAGAAUCGUGAACGUUUCGAGAAUCGUGAGCUUUGGUAAUCUUAGAGAUAGGGUCAUUUGGAAGACAUUAUAGAACUUAUGAAAGAUACAUAUAGCAAGGGAACCAUGCCUUAAUGAAAGAAAGGUUAGCCUUACAUACCUCGUUGUCUUCUUAACUACUUAACGUUCCCCGUUGAAGCUUGAAUAAUCUACAUUUAAAAGGAUUCAUACCAUGGUUAAGCCUUAAUGAUACUCUUCAAUUCAACCUAGGAUAAUUCAUGUUCUAAUGAAAAUUGGGCAGCAUUUCCCCUAUUUCGUCAACUUCCACUAUAUCACAAAACAACUCCCAACAACCACAAUAAUAUCCACAAUAUCAUAAUCAAGUAUUCACAUUCGACUUAGCCUUCAAAAUUCAUCCUUAUGUUUAACUUAUGCUAGCAACUUCAUACCCAUUUUAGCACAUUUUCAUAAUAAUGCUUCCUCAUCACCAUUAUUACCUUCCAUAGCAAGAUUAUAUCCAUAUCAUACUAAGAAUUAUAACUCAAGUUAGCUUACUACUCAAAAACAUCAUAAAAACUACAUUUAGAACUCAUCUUCUACUUUCUCCUUCUACACAAGUUGUUCAACAACUAAACAUUCUUGAUAACAUGUAAUAAGUAUGAAAACAACCUUUUUAUCUCAUAAGAAUGAGCUUUGGAGCAAGCUAUCAACUUAAAUAAAAACCCUAGCUUCAAUAUCCAAAGAAUUCUUGGAGUCUAAUAACCCUAGCAAGGCUUCUAACACAUGGGUAUCUUGAUUCUUGCCUCUUGAUAUUUAAUCUCCCUUGGAUUUUGACUUGGAUUAGUUUAUGGAGUUGAAGAGAGGGUUUUUGGAGAGCCUUUGGAUCUGAUUGGUGAAAUGAAAUGUCCAAAUGAAGUGAGUAAAUUAUAUAAAGCGGAACUUAAAAUCCCGUCAGACAAUUAUGCGCUCAUUUUGAUGGGCCGUCAAAAUUCCUACGGACGGUCAAAAUGGUCUGUAGAACUGACCAGUCAAAUAUGGAUCACUGUGACCAUUUUACGCUGGGUUGGUGCAGUUUGACAGGCCGCAGAAUUUUCUGCGGGGCGUCAAAAUUCCUGCGGCCCGUCAAAUGGUCCGCAGAAAUUUUCUGCUCAGACAGUCUGUCGUAAAACACCCACAACGUUUUACUCAAACGUCACAUUUGUUGCGUUGGAAACUAGACUCGAUGAAAUUCAAUUUGGACAAAAGAAACACACCAAAACUCCUCAUAUUAUAGGAGAUAUGCCUCCCCCAAUCUGGACCAAAAUCCUGUUCGAAAAUUUUGCAAAUUUUACCAAAGUUCCCACAAACUCCAUUCCUUUAUUUGUUUGUUCUUAAAUCCUUCCAUAGCUCAGUUCAUGGGAUUAAAACCCCAUAACCAUAAUAUGGGAACAUGUAAUCUCAUAUAUCCUAAGGUAACUCCCGUUUCCACGAUUAGGACAACUAACGCCUAACGAAUCUCAACGGACGAAACUACGAGGUGUAACAUACCGUCAAGCUUAAUUUUAUGUUUUCAAACUGCAAAUCAAUGGCAAAGAAGAAUAAAAAAGAAGUUUUCCUUAGAUACCUUCUCAAAUAAUGAAUAUGAAUUAAUUUUGGAGUUAGGACAUGCCUUGUUUAUAAUGUUUAAAUUCGUAUGCCAGUAACACCCUCAUUUUGCA